AAAGUGACUACAUCGGGG
rnacentral:snRNA from 1 species